CGUACGUCGACUUGAAUCCUGAACAGUAAACCAGUGGAUUGCUCUUGGUCCUAGACCAACUAGAUUGAGGCAUUCCAUUGUGUGCCAAGUGAAAGAUAAGCUGCUGCGGAGCAGAGUGACAGAACAAUUAAGGAGGUAGCAGUGGCACAGGAGUGGCGGGCAAGAGGCCUGUAGGAUGAGUCGUGGGAGCAUUGUCAUUAUUUGUUCAUGAUAUAUAUUUUGCCUAAGUCUAGUUAGUUGUUAUGUCAUUCGAAGUUAUGUUUAAAGUUAUAAAUUCAAGUUCAUAUUUCAAGUUGUAAAUUCAAGUUAUGAAUAUGUACGUUGUUAUAUUUAAAUGAUAUGUUGUAAAUAUGCAUGAAUAUUGAUGUAAUAUGAUGGA